rnacentral:tRNA from 1 species
GAGGGUGUAGCUCAGGGGUAAAGUGUGUGCCUAGCGUGCACAAGGUCCUGGGUUCAAUCUCCAGGACCUCCA